UUACGGGAGGCAGCAGUAAGGAAUAUUGGGCAAUGGACGCAAGUCUGACCCAGCCAUGCCGCGUGCAGGAAGACGGCCUUAUGGGUUGUAAACUGCUUUUGUCAGGGAAUAAACCCUUGUUUGCGAACAAGGCUGAAGGUACCUGAAGAAUAAGCAUCGGCUAACUCCGUGCCAGCAGCCGCGGUAAUACGGAGGAUGCAAGCGUUAUCCGGAUUCAUUGGGUUUAAAGGGUGCGCAGGCGGGCUAUUAAGUCAGAGGUGAAAUGCUACGGCUCAACCGUGGAACUGCCUUUGAUACUGCUAGUCUUGAGUUUAAUUGAAGUGGGCGGAAUGUAGCAUGUAGCGGUGAAAUGCAUAGAGAUGCUACAGAACACCGAUAGCGAAGGCAGCUCACUAAGUUACAACUGACGCUCAUGCACGAAAGCGUGGGGAUCAAACAGGAUUAGAUACCCCUGUAGUCC
rnacentral:rRNA from 1 species